UCUUGAACAAGAAGACCCAAUUCAGGGACUUUUGGAUGAUUGGACCUUUCAUUCAUCAAUUCCAUUGCUAACAAGGAUGACAAACUAUCUGUGUUCCGUUUUAUUUCCUGAAUUUAAGUUUGCAUGAUUAUAGUACUGUGUGGGCAGCCUUCAAGAAAAACAGCCUGGCUGCAGCUUGUGACAUCACCCUUCAUCCAUCAACUUUCUCCCACAAAUAGUCUCACUGCACUGAGAGAUGGCUGUGGAAGGACAAGGACUUUCUGGGAAACUCCCAGGAUAGUGAGUCUAGCUGAGAAAAACUCCAGGCCGAAGCCACCUGGCACUGGUUCUAGGUCAAUGUUGGGGGUUUGUGUCAGGGACAAGGGCCUGCACAGAUCAGGGAGGACUUGCUGGUCAUGCAGGACCUCCAAAAAGCCAAGGCCAGGCAUGGCUUACCUAGGGGAGCCCAGGUUUUUUUUGGCAUCUCAGAGGGAAUCACCAUUUGCCGCCUCAGCUUAGACCUGUAUACUGAUCCACUGGGUCAACUCUGGAUUUGACAGGCCCUUCUAAUUAAAGGGCAGGAAGUAAUUAGAACCCCAUCCAGGCCCAUAUCUCCGCAGAUGAGUCCACUUCAGGGAGGGUUGUUCUGAAGAUUUUGCAAGUUGGAGAGACACAGGAUCCUGGGGCCAAACUGGGCCUACUGAGUCUAACCCCUCAUGUCAGAGCUGAGGAAAAAGAGACCCAGAGGGUCUGUGACACCUGGCCCCCCGCCAGGUCUUGGUGAAUGGCGAAGUCAGCACGAAGCUUCAGAUCCUCCCCAGGUGAUCUUCUACAAUUCAGUGCCGCCCAUGAUGACAAAUACGAAAGCUUGUUUAAAAGGUCCAGCUAGAAGGGCCUUUGAGGGGACAGGAAUUCUGGCUCCUUGACAGUUGGCACAGUCAAAAGGGUGUUUUAAGUCACUGGACACCAGUCACUCUGACGCUGCUGGAGCUGAAAUCUCCUGGGACAUCUGACACACAGCUGGCAGAAGGACAUGAUUGGAAGCCUUAGUUAUAUUACAAAGGCUUUGGCUGGAAUGUCGUAUUUGAGAGAGGCGUGCAUAGACUCAGAUAUGAACAGACAGCCUUAAGGAACUAAGCCUGACUUUAUGGAGCCAAUAAAACCCCUUGGAAAAUAUCAGCCUGGUGCAUUGCUUACAAAGGUCCCAGCAGCCUCACCAGGUGAAUAAAGAAGGUCACUCCCUGGCAGGUGCAGGAAGCUCAGGAUGUUCUGGGGACCUCGAGAAGAGAGGAAUUCACCCAAGUCUGUAAGUAUUGCAGAUUAAGUCAGAUGGCAAGUAUUUGGCUUCACUUCUGGCCUUAAGAGGCUAUUAAAAGUUCAUUCUAGAGAUUCCUUAUGAAAAGUUCCAACAAAGCAGAGUUUUAAAAGCCUAUAUGUGUAAAUAAUCAGGCCACUUUUUUUUUUUUUUGGAAACUAGACUUAUUUUGCAAACAAACUAGUGUUAAUCUGGCUACCGUUGGUAAAAAUGAGGGUGAUUAUAGAGAAAAUAUGUUUCGAUAACACACCUUUGUAAAUAGUAAAUUUUAACACUAUUUAUUAUAAGCUGGCCUAAAUCCUGAUUUCUUCUAGUGUUCUCCAGUGCCAGGCUACAACUCUCCAAACUAAUGUUUUUGAAUGUUCUCCCACCUUUCUGACUUGGAAUCAUUUGAGAACUAAAACUUCCCUCUUCCUCGAAGCCCUGCAAACUCAAUACAAAUGGCUUGGUGUAAACUUCAGAGAAGUUGCCACAAUGGCUCAUGUCUAGACAAUCUUUGUACCUACCGCACUGCGGGCCACUCAACAGAUUGCUAGAGACAUGUGAGCUACAAACCAGGAGAAUCUGUCGCAUUGCCACGGCCUGCCGUCACUCUGUCUGAAGAUGCUCGGAGCCUGACAUCCAGAAGUCUUGUCAGCUGGCUGGCUCAGAACUCAGAGACAGGCUUAUAAUCUGAUCUAAUCAUUAACCACUGCUUUUCUUUUAUUUCCGCAGAAAGGCCUCUUAUCUAAUACCUGAUUACUUGAACCAUAGGCCUAGCUUGGAGAAACGCCACCUUCUGAAAUGAGUUCAACCAAGCUGACCUAUUAUCAAGACUCAGGGGAGUGGUUCGGUGAGACGAAACAAUCUACCAGCUCAACUUUUAAUGUGUGAACCAGCAGGAAGUUUCAGGGGACGGAACUGUGAGGGCCAAAGACAGGCUGUCCCAAGAUGGGCCACUUUGUUAUGAAGACUAUUUUGAGCUGCAAGCAGUCGAGACCCUCUAGGUCAAGAGGAAGUCCUUGCUCCUCCCUGAGCUGCAUAGGAGAAUCUAAAUUGGAAAUCUUUCCCAGAAUAACGGUUAUUACCACAGAUACAUUUAUCUGCAUGACCCAUCUGUAGGGCAGGGCAGACAUCUAAGUACCAAACACCUGCUCCUUUUCUUACUGCCCUGUCAACUGCAUUUUUUCCCUUCAAAGUCCCAGACUCCUACCCCUUCUCCUCACCUCAGGAUGGCAUACAGACCUCAUUUGGCCUGACUGUCUUUGGAAUUUCCAUGUCUGUGUGGAUUCCCUGUAUGUAUGCUAUUAAAUUUGAUUUUCUCCUAUUGA